AUGGCCCCAGAGGUUCUGUGGCGACAGUAACUGAGUAUAUGGUUAAUGGUUCUCUAAGAAAUGCCUUGCAGAAGAAUGGGAGGAAUCUUGACAAGCGCAAGCGUCUUUUGAUUGCAAUGGAUGUGGCCUUUGGUAUGGAGUACCUGCAUG